GACGAACGCUGGCGGCGUGCUUAACACAUGCAAGUCGAACGGAAAGGCCCUGCUUUUGUGGGGUGCUCGAGUGGCGAACGGGUGAGUAACACGUGAGUAACCUGCCCUUGACUUUGGGAUAACUUCAGGUAACUGGGGCUAAUGCCGGAUAGGAGCUCCUGCUGCAUGGUGGGGGUUGGAAAGUUUCGGCGGUUGGGGAUGGACUCGCGGCUUAUCAGCUUGUUGGUGGGGUAGUGGCUUACCAAGGCGUUGACGGGUAGCCGGCCUGAGAGGGUGACCGGCCACAUUGGGCCUGCGAUACGGCCCAGACUCCUACGGGAGGCAGCAGUGGGGAAUAUUGCACAAUGGGCGGAAGCCUGAUGCAGCAACGCCGCGUGCGGGAUGACGGCCUUCGGGUUGUAAACCGCUUUCGCCUGUGACGAAGCGUGAGUGACGGUAAUGGGUAAAGAAGCACCGGCUAACUACGUG
rnacentral:rRNA from 1 species